GAUGAACGCUGGCGGCGUGCCUAAUACAUGCAAGUCGAGCGAACAGACGAGGAGCUUGCUCCUCUGACGUUAGCGGCGGACGGGUGAGUAACACGUGGAUAACCUACCUAUAAGACUGGGAUAACUUCGGGAAACCGGAGCUAAUACCGGAUAAUAUAUUGAACCGCAUGGUUCAAUGGUGAAAGACGGUUUUGCUGUCACUUAUAGAUGGAUCCGCGCCGCAUUAGCUAGUUGGUAAGGUAACGGCUUACCAAGGCGACGAUGCGUAGCCGACCUGAGAGGGUGAUCGGCCACACUGGAACUGAGACACGGUCCAGACUCCUACGGGAGGCAGCAGUAGGGAAUCUUCCGCAAUGGGCGAAAGCUUGACGGAGCAACGCCGCGUGAGUGAUGAAGGUCUUCGGAUCGUAAAACUCUGUUAUUAGGGAAGAACAAAUGUGUAAGUAACUAUGCACGUCUUGACGGUACCUAAUCAGAAAGCCACGGCUAACUACGUG
rnacentral:rRNA from 1 species